GUGCCCUACGGGAGGCAGCAGUGGGGAAUAUUGGGCAAUGGGCGCAAGCCUGACCCAGCAACGCCGCGUGAAGGAAGAAGGCUUUCGGGUUGUAAACUUCUUUUCUCAGGGACGAAGCAAGUGACGGUACCUGAGGAAUAAGCCACGGCUAACUACGUGCCAGCAGCCGCGGUAAUACGCAGGUGGCAAGCGUUAUCCGGAUUUACUGGGUGUAAAGGGCGUGUAGGCGGGAAAGCAAGUCAGAUGUUAAAACCAUAUGCUCAACCUGUGGCCUGCAUUUGAAACUGUUUUUCUUGAGUACUGGG
rnacentral:rRNA from 1 species